rnacentral:rRNA from 1 species
AUUGAACGCUGUCGGCAGGCCUAACACAUGCAAGUCGAACGAGUGGCGGACGGGUGAGUAAUGUGUGGGAAACUGCCUGAUGGAGGGGGAUAACUACUGGAAACGGUAGCUAAUACUGCAUACCAUCGACUGAGCCCAGAUGGGAUUAGCUAGGAGGUGGGGUAACGGCUCACCUAGGCGACGACCCCUAGCUGGUCGGAGAGGAUGACCAGCAACACUGGAAAUGAGACACGGUCCAGACUCCUACGGGAGGCAGCAGUGGGGAAUAUUGCACAAUGGGCGCAAGCCUGAUGCAGCCAUGCCGCGUGUGUGAAGAAGGCCUUCGGGUUGUAAAGCACUUUCAGCGGGGAGGCGUUACCCGCAGGAGAAGCACCGGCUAACUCCGUGCCAGCAGCCGCGGUAAUAC